GACUUGAACCAGCACGCAGAUCGGAAAGCCACUUCGAAGGAAACCUUGUAGAGAAGAAGAGCAACUUUCUAAUUCCUGUCAAACUAAGAGGCGGAACCAAGCCCAGAAGUAGCCUCAAGGCCUGGAGAGAGCAGAGCAGAGAGCCGACUCCACACUCCAGCCAAGGCUCAAGAAAGGCUUUGCUUCUCGAGGCGGCAUUGUUCCUCCAUCCGCUCAGCCUCCGCGUCUCCCCUCCGCGGACUCUCAGAAUCACUGCCUUUCUCGGGUACCUCUCCGCCGACCUCCGGGAUCUGGGUGCCUGGGUCCCAAGGCGCACCCAAGCAGGCUCACUGCAGAGGCUGGGGCGCCGCUCGGAAGACUAGGAGCCUCCGCACGAGUCCGCCCCGACCAGGGCAGCGCGCAGCGCACACUCAGUGUCUCACUCCUCUCGGCUUCCCUGGCUCCCACGGACUCGGUUGGCCUCUCACCACCCACUCGGGUUCGCCUUUCCUGCCUUGGCUUCCCACACCAGCUCCGCACCGCCGCCACAGCCGCGUACCGACGCUCCGAACCCUAGCAGGCCGGGAUGAAGGGAUGCCAGGGUCAGGGAUGCACCCGAAGGAGAAGAGAGGCUAAGGCGAGCCGGGGCAGGUGGGGAGUCGCGGGCUGCGGGAGAGGGCGUGUGCGAGCGAGCCCCCCGAGAAAGAUGCAUGUACUCGGCCACCCCGCUGGAAGAAGGACCGAGGGGGCAGGAUGCAACGUGGAGAACGCCCACCGCGAGGGUGCGCAAAACCGGCGAUUUGCAAAGUGCCAGGGCCAGACAGGCAGAGGGGGAGGAAGGAGGCUGGCUGAAGACCAGGAACAGAGAGAAGAGCCCACUUCUCCAUCAAAAGGUCUGUUCGGUUAACGCAUCCCCAGAGCAGGAGUUAAUCGAGGACUGGAUGCAGUGUAAAAGGUGGGUUUUAAAAAACUCGCUGGCCGCGUAGGUCUUCUUAUGCUAGACUUAGCUCCCUCUCUCUCAACUCUGGGGAUUUGCCCUCCCUGUGACACAACUGGAAUUUACAGGAGCUGAAGCCCACUGUCCUCCUUGCUGUUUAUCUGCAUUUUGGAGAUUCUAUGAAACCUAGUAUUGAAGAAACCACCCAGCUCAUUAAAGUUCAUUAAUUUUUAUUGUUUUUAUUUUCAUCAGAAGAUAGUAGUGGAGACUUAACACCAAGAUGUGUUUAAAACAUUGAUCUGAUCGACAUAGC
ensembl:antisense A830092H15Rik RIKEN cDNA A830092H15 gene